CCUACGGGGGGCAGCAGUGGGGAAUAUUGGACAAUGGGGGCAACCCUGAUCCAGCCAUGCCGCGCGUGUGAAGAAGGCCCUCGGGUUGUAAAGCACUUUCAGUGAGGAAGAACGCCUGGUGGUUAAUACCCAUCAGGAAAGACAUCACUCACAGAAGAAGCACCGGCUAACUCCGUGCCAGCAGCCGCGGUAAUACGGAGGGUGCGAGCGUUAAUCGGAAUUACUGGGCGUAAAGCGCGCGUAGGUGGCUUGAUAAGCCGGUUGUGAAAGCCCCGGGCUCAACCUGGGAACGGCAUCCGGAACUGUCAAGCUAGAGUGCAGGAGAGGAAGGUAGAAUUCCCGGUGUAGCGGUGAAAUGCGUAGAGAUCGGGAGGAAUACCAGUGGCGAAGGCGGCCUUCUGGACUGACACUGACACUGAGGUGCGAAAGCGUGGGUAGCAAACAGGAUUAGAUACCCUUGUAGUC
rnacentral:rRNA from 1 species